CAGCAGCCGCGGGAAUACGAAGGGUGCAAGCGUUAAUCGGAAUUACUGGGCGUAAAGCGUGCGUAGGCGGUUUGUUAAGUCUGUUGUGAAAUCCCCGGGCUCAACCCGGGAAUGGCAGUGGAUACUGGCUCGCUAGAGUGUGUCAGAGGAUGGUGGAAUUCCCGGUGUAGCGGUGAAAUGCGUAGAGAUCGGGAGGAACAUCAGUGGCGAAGGCGGCCAUCUGGGACAACACUGACGCUGAGGCACGAAAGCGUGGGGAGCAAACAGGAUUAGAUACCCCUGUAGUCCCUGUCUCUUAUAC
rnacentral:rRNA from 1 species